GAAGAGUGAAGGAAAUAAACAAAAACAAUCGUGGGUGGGGUCCCCGGGAUAUGGGAAGAGACGACCGUAGGGAUGGGACACCACCACCCCAGCUGAACGACCUUCGAGUUAUUUAAGAAAUAACCUUAGUCAUUCUCUGUACUGUAUCCGACCGUCCAGCAUUACUACGUCAGUACAUACGAGAAACUUGCAUAAAAAACGUAUUGGUUUACUGUAUCAGGGCCAAUUUUCAAGACGUCAUACCUAAACACCAGACCAGUAGUCCAAACCACACAAAAUGAUGUUGACAACAAGUUAUCUGUAUGUGAUCAUCUGAAAUGUAGCUGCAGUGGUGGUGGGUAACAUUAGGCUUGUGCAUUCUGCAAGCUGGUAUUGGCAGAAGAAAGCUGAAAGUCUUUGCAAAAUAUUGCUUCAAAACACAAAUCAUGUCAUCAUCUUUCUUUCAAAGAUAUAAGAGCCACAUACCUGUCCCUAAAGG